rnacentral:lncRNA from 1 species
UCGGAUUUGGGCACGCCGACAGACCGUCGAACGGACAGGGUUUUCCUGUACCGCAGACAGAGUCUCCCCUGUACGUCCAAGGAGUCACAAUCCAAACAAUGCACGAGGUUCCAACCAGGAACAACAUUCAACAAAGAUUGCAUCAGAAAUGUAUGAAAACAUAAUUACCUAUGCUAUUACAAGUAUUCAACACACAUACAUUUUACAUAUUAUAUUUUCAAUUCUUUAACUCUAUUUUAUAGCUUCCAAAUACAAUCCAGUUUUAACAUAAUUAUUACAACUUUGUUCUCUUCCUUUCACAACCCUAAGUUAAGCCGAGCCAGGGUACUGCUAUCUCUGGUCUCAGUGGUAGGGUGCUAUCUACAGAGCUACGCCCUUUCCUCGCGCCGCUCACGUGUGAACCUGUACAUCCAAAAACAAUACAGGGGUGAGAAUUAUUAUCCAUAGUUUCCAGUAGGUACGGCCACCCAAGGGAAAAGCUCGACCCACCAGGUCCAAAGGAGGCACUGCAAACAUGUUAGUCCAACAAAUAUUCACAGAUAUAUAAUUUAUGCAACUAACAUUAUUAUGUUCAUGACUCAUAAUAUGCAACAUGCAAAUCAUGUAACUAUCCAAGUAAAUUAAUUGGUUCUACUCUUAUUCUUAGCCAUUCAUUAAUAUUAGCCAUUCUUUAUUCUUAGCUAAUUUUUAUUCUUAGUCGUUCUUUACUAUUGUUAUUCUUUAAUAUUAUCCGUUCUUUAUUCUUUGUUCUUCACUAAGGAUACUCACACCUUAGACAUAUUAUACACAAUUACCACUCUUUCCUAAGGUUGUUUUACCUUAGCCAACUAUGCCACUCGACUCGGUCUUGAGUCAAUCAACUGCGGAUAAUCCGCGCUCUGUCAGGCUCGAGGCGAAGGUCGUCUCACAUGCACCUCAGCCUUAAAUCCUUUCGACU